rnacentral:snRNA from 1 species
AUAUUUCUGAAAGGAGCCUCCAGGGAGAGACGCGAGCAUUGCACUGCGCUUGUGUUGACCCCUGCCACUACCCCAAACUGGGGCACAUGGGGGAUGCAAUUUUUGGUAGUGGGGGACUGCGUUCGCGCUAUCCCCCU